rnacentral:rRNA from 1 species
GACGUAGGGGGCAAGCGUUGUCCGGAAUCAUUGGGCGUAAAGCGCGUGUAGGCGGCCCGGUAAGUCCGCUGUGAAAGUCCAGGGCUCAACCUCGAGCUGUCGGUGGAAACUGUCUGGCUAGAGUCCGGAAGAGGAGAGUGGAAUUCCUGGUGUAGCGGUGAAAUGCGCAGAUAUCAGGAAGAACACCUAUGGCGAAGGCAGCUCUCUGGGACGGUACUGACGCUGAGACGCGAAAGCGUGGGGAGCGAACAGG